AUGGACGCUGGCGGCGUGCUUAACACAUGCAAGUCGAACGGAAAGGCCCAAGCUUGCUUGGGUACUCGAGUGGCGAACGGGUGAGUAACACGUGGGUGAUCUGCCCUGCACUUCGGGAUAAGCCUGGGAAACUGGGUCUAAUACCGGAUAGGACCACUUCUUGGAUGUUGUGGUGGAAAGUUUUUUCGGUGUGGGAUGAGCUCGCGGCCUAUCAGCUUGUUGGUGGGGUAAUGGCCUACCAAGGCGUCGACGGGUAGCCGGCCUGAGAGGGUGUACGGCCACAUUGGGACUGAGAUACGGCCCAGACUCCUACGGGAGGCAGCAGUGGGGAAUAUUGCACAAUGGGCGCAAGCCUGAUGCAGCGACGCCGCGUGGGGGAUGACGGCCUUCGGGUUGUAAACUCCUUUCGCUAGGGACGAAGCGUUUUGUGACGGUACCUGGAGAAGAAGCACCGGCUAACUACGUG
rnacentral:rRNA from 1 species